rnacentral:lncRNA from 1 species
CAGUUGCAGUAGCAUAGUAGAUCUGCAAGAAAGCAAGCAAUAGGCUAAUCAGUUAAAAAAAUUACCAGUUCUAACAAUAAAUUAAGCAUGUUUCAACCAUAUUACUAUCAAUACCACAUCUGCAAAACAAAGAUAAGCAUAGCAGAUCUGCAACACAAAACAUAGAAUAGGCUGAUCAGUACAAAAAAAAAUACCAGUUCUAGUGCAACAGUAACUUAAUCAUGAAGCAAACAAAGAUAAGCAUAGCAGAUCUGCAAUACAAAGCAUAUAAUAGACAUCAAGUUAAAAAAAAAUUAAAUAGGCUGAUCAGAAUUUAAAAAAAAAAAUAACAUUCCAGUUGCAACAGAUCUGCAAAACAAGCAACCAUAUACGGAUCAGUUAAAAAAAACAACUAUAAAAAACUUACAAGCAAUAAAACAACCAAUCAGUCUACAAAAAUAAGCAUUGUAUUCACCUGUAGAUGAACAACUAUCCUCAUCCAUAUUACUCGAAUUUGAAUCUCCAUCCUUACUAAUAGCAGGUCUACAUAAAUAAGCAUUGUAGAGAUACAUAUCAAUAAAAAAAAAAUACAUAAAUAUAAAUAUUAAUAUCAAUCACAAUUAUCUGAAAAUUCUUACUUGGCAAGAAGUCUUGGACAAUUUCUUUUGUCAUGUGACUGACCAUAUAAUCCACAUCCAUGACAUUUCCUACCUUGACUCUCUUUUGCCUUACCUUUCCUCUUCUCUUUUCCUUUCCUCAACCUUUUGCCACACCCUUUUGCUCUAACUUCAUCGGGUUCAUUAAAAACAUGCUGAAUAAUAGGAGUCUCGGUCUCUAAAACUGGUGCAAGAUUACCAUUUGACAAUCUGUUAAACUUCUCCAAGAAAUCAUCCAAGGACUCCAUUAGGAGCUGGCUAGCCUCAUCACUGACAAUUGCCUUAUCAAUGGCAUAUGUAGCAUGUUGUAACAAUUUAGUCC